rnacentral:rRNA from 1 species
AAUCAACGCUGGCGGCGUGCCUAACACAUGCAAGUCGAACGAGAAAGUGGUAGCAAUACCAUGAGUAAAGUGGCGUACGGGUGAGUAACACGUGGAUUAUCUGCCUCUUAGUGUGGAAUAACCCUGGGAAACCGGAGCUAAUACCGCAUAAGUCCGAGAGGAGAAAGCAGCAAUGCGCUGAGAGAGGAGUCCGCGGCCGAUUAGCUAGUUGGCAGGGUAAAAGCCUACCAAGACUGUGAUCGAUAGCCGGCCUGAGAGGGCACACGGCCACACUGGCACUGAAACACGGGCCAGACUCCUACGGGAGGCAGCAGUGGGGAAUCUUGCACAAUGGGGGCAACCCUGAUGCAGCGACGCCGCGUGAGCGAUGAAGCCCUUCGGGGUGUAAAGCUCUUUCGGCAGGGAAGAUUAUGACGGUACCUGCAGAAGCAGCUGCGGCUAACUACGUGCCAGCAGCCGCGGUAACACGUAGGCAGCAAGCGUUGUUCGGAGUUACUGGGCGUAAAGGGUGCGUAGGCAGCUUUUUAAGUUUGGUGUGAAAUCUCCCGGCUCAACUGGGAGGGUGCGCCGAAUACUGAGAGGCUAGAGUGCGGGAGAGGAAAGUGGAAUUCCUGGUGUAGCGGUGAAAUGCGUAGAUAUCAGGAGGAACACCGGUGGUGUAAACGGCUUUCUGGACCGUAACUGACGCUGAGGCACGAAAGCGUGGGUAGCAAACAGGAUUAGAUACCCUGGUAGUCCACGCCCUAAACGGUGCAUAUUUGGUGUGGGCCAUUCAGUUGGUCCGUGCCGGAGCUAACGCGUUAAAUAUGCCGCCUGGGGAGUACAGUCGCAAGGCUG